rnacentral:lncRNA from 1 species
GCUUAUUUACAAGGCUGUUUUAAAGGGUAGCAAGCAAAAUAAGGUAAACUGAGCUAGUACACCGAGGGGCCAGGUGGUACCUACUAGCUGCCAGCUGUCCCAGGCAUGGAAGGAGCCGGAACAGAGCCGUGGAGACUCCCCCAAAAUGGGCCAGGAAAGCGAACAGAGAGGCUCUGGAGCCCGGAAACGGUGAGGGCCCAGGGAACGGGAGCAGAGAAUACGGAAAGCUGGAGAGGCAUGUCCCCCUCCCCACACCAAACCCACCCAUCCCAGCGUGAGCCCCACAGCAGCCCCUGCGCCCGCAUGCUCACGCAGAGGGCAACCGAGGCAUAGCCUAUCCAGAGACAGAGGGGAGGGCCCUGGGUGAGGUGCAGGCCAGGAAAGGGGAGGCCCAGAGGAAGGCAGGCAGUGGGGGGCUGGCCGGGAUCCUCAGAUCAGGACAGAAGGGGGACAUACGGGACCUGGAGGAGAGGAGCUCUGGGGGUUUUCUCUUCCUCCUCUUUCUUUGAAGUUUCCUUGUGGUUUGAAUUUAGUUUUGAUUUUCUCAACUUUAGCAGAUUGAAGUUGAAAUAACCUACAAAUUACUUAAUGUGUUGUAAAUCUGGGGGAAUUCAGGAGUAAUGGGGACCACAUGUUGGCUGGGAGGGAGCCCACAGAGGACUGGGGGAGGCAGCCUUACAGACGCAGGUGGCUGUUGCAGGCACAAGCUAGAUGCCCAGACUCCUCCCCACCAGGGACAGGGCUUGGGGUCCCCUAGGGGCGGGGGUGGGACUCCCGAGUUGGCGGGGAGUCCUGGAGAGACACGAGAGAAAGUGUUAAGACCAUGCCCUGACCAGUUGCAGUCCAGGGCCGCCUGGUGACCGUGGACGCUGGGCAGCCAAGUAGGCCGUGUGCCAGGCGUCUGCCAGGCCCCUCUGCAGCGUUGAU